GUGCCAGCAGCCGCGGUAAUACGUAGGUGGCAAGCGUUGUCCGGAUUUAUUGGGCGUAAAGCGAGCGCAGGCGGUUUCUUAAGUCUGAUGUGAAAGCCUUCGGCUCAACCGAAGAAGUGCAUCGGAAACUGGGAAACUUGAGUGCAGAAGAGGACAGUGGAACUCCAUGUGUAGCGGUGAAAUGCGUAGAUAUAUGGAAGAACACCAGUGGCGAAGGCGGCUGUCUGGUCUGUAACUGACGCUGAGGCUCGAAAGCAUGGGUAGCAAACAGGAUUAGAUACCCUGGUAGUCCAUGCCGUAAACGAUGAGUGCUAGGUGUUGGAGGGUUUCCGCCCUUCAGUGCCGCAGCUAACGCAUUAAGCACUCCGCCUGGGGAGUACGACCGCAAGGUUGAAACUCAAAGGAAUUGACGGGGGCCCGCACAAGCGGUGGAGCAUGUGGUUUAAUUCGAAGCAACGCGAAGAACCUUACCAGGUCUUGACAUCCUUUGACCACUCUAGAGAUAGAGCUUUCCCUUCGGGGACAAAGUGACAGGUGGUGCAUGGUUGUCGUCAGCUCGUGUCGUGAGAUGUUGGGUUAAGUCCCGCAACGAGCGCAACCCUUAUUACUAGUUGCCAGCAUUAAGUUGGGCACUCUAGUGAGACUGCCGGUGACAAACCGGAGGAAGGUGGGGACGACGUCAAAUCAUCAUGCCCCUUAUGACCUGGGCUACACACGUGCUACAAUGGAUGGUACAACGAGUUGCGAGACCGCGAGGUUUAGCUAAUCUCUUAAAACCAUUCUCAGUUCGGAUUGUAGGCUGCAACUCGCCUACAUGAAGCCGGAAUCGCUAGUAAUCGCGGAUCAGCAUGCCGCGGUGAAUACGUUCCCGGGCCUUGUACACACCGCCCGU
rnacentral:rRNA from 1 species